AAUAUAACGCUCCGCAUUUAGAAAUGUGAAUGUUUUAAAAAGCCUAAAAAUUAAUGCAUGGUGAUAGAAUGAGAGGAGGGAAGAUAUAGACAUAUAGAAUUUAUGUAACUAUAUAGAAGAUAUUUUUUAUUUUAUAGUUUGAUAAAGCACCUGAUACUUUAUUGUCUUCACAAGUCUUUUACCCUUAACCUGUAUUUGUAGUUGCCUAUCCAUGUUCCUGUGGAUUUAAUAUGGCAUAGCACGAGGGUAUUUCGGUAUUUGUAGGUUAGCACAAAAAAUUAUCAAAAAAUGAACUUCUCUUAAACAUUUUGGUGUUUUUAUGUUAAAUAGUUAUUAAUUAGAAUAUUAGUAGGCAAACUGAACUGUUGCUCAAGGACUCCGAAACGUUUUCACAUGAAAAAUUUUCCUUGGAACAUAGAUUAUUUUUACGUAUGGCAUUUUUGUGCUUUAACCGUUUUUAAUAGAAUAUUAAUAAGUAAAUUAGAAUGAUUACUAUGAAAGAUCCAAAAGCGUUUCCAAUUGUGACUUUUUCGUUGAGAAAUCGAUUAUUUCUACGUAUUGUUAACCAUUUUGAACGACGUAUUUCAUUGAGCUACCCUUUUGACUGUGAGACAGCCCAUAUUGAAAAUUAUUACUGUAUUUAUUGCAAUUUCCAAACAGAAUUGAAACUACUUUUCAAGCAGCAUGUAGAAGAGUGUCAUAUUGAUAAAAUAAAUAGCAGUGAUUUAUUAAUUGGAAAACAUUCUAUUCAAACAUAUAUUUGUGAAAAAUGUAGCUUUGAAACAAAUUUUGUGAUAAAGUGGUGUCAACAUACUACACAGUGUGAAGAAAAGGAAAAAAAUCGUCAAAUGUACAAAUGUGAUGAGUCUGAGUCUUUAAAGCAUCAUAAAAUUACAAAUCACCAUAAUGAUGAUGAAAUACAAUGGUACCACUGUAACAGCUGCUCAUACCAAGGUAAAUCCAAAAACUUAUUAAGAGAACACAUAAAGUUACGCCAUCAGAGAGUUAUUAAAUGGUAUGAAUGCAAGAAAUGUGCAUACAAAGUUGAAAGUUUACAAAAUUUAAAUAUUCACAUAGCAAUGCAUAAUUCCGAUAAGCAGGAUAUUACAUGGUAUGAAUGUAAAGAAUGUUCAUAUAAAUCUAAACGCAAAAAGUAUUUAUCAGAUCACAUGAAAAAGCAUGACGUAAAUGAACAGAAUGUUAAAUGGUAUGAAUGUGAAAAGUGUCCAUUUAAAGCCAAAUUCCCAACUUCUUUAAAAUUGCACAUGAAUUUGCAGCAUGUUGACGAGGAAAAUGUUGAACGGUAUCAAUGUGAUAAGUGCCCUUUUAAAACUCACUACAAACCAUGCUUAACCAUUCACACAAAGCGAGCCCAUUUAAAUAACAAAACUCAAAAUAUUCAAAAAGUCAGAAAUUUGCAUAGAUGUGAAAAGUGUCCAUUGUUAACUUUUAACAACAGAAGCUCUUUAAAAAGUCAUAUCAAUUCGCAACAUAUGCAUAAAAAGAUUAUUAGAUGUGAAAAGUGCCCAUUCGAAACUAGACGUCCAAAUUCUUUACAGUUGCACAUAAUUUUGCAGCAUAGUGAUGACUUAUGAUGAAUGAUACGAAUGUUUCAUACGUCACACAAAUGAACCCCAUUUAGAUAAACCAGACACUAAGCGGCGUUAAUGUCAUGAAUAUACAUACAAAUUCAAACUCAUUCAUCAAAACUCAUUAAAAGACUACACUUUAUUGGGAAGGACAGGAUAUUAAAAGGUGUGAAUGCAAAUAAUUCAAAUACAAGCAACGAAUUUGGGCUAAUGCAAAAUGUCUCCGCACGAAAGUCAAAGUAACUUUAGUUUAAAAGACUUCGUCAGCAGACUGGAUUAGGUUAAGAGUGGAAUUUAGAAGUGUUACUAUUUUUAUAAACAGUAAUUUGUCAUCUGACACACAAAAUUUGGUUUUGAUGAUCUACAUUUUAUUGUAAAUUUUUUAAUUUACUAUCGUUAAAACUUUUAAUAUGUUUAAAAUGAGGAAUCUUAUAAAUAUGAUGUACGAAAAUCGCCGAACAGAUCCUGUGAUCUCGGAGAAAUUAGAUACAUAUGUUUGCUGUUUGUUGAUAACGCUCCUUUGUUAAAGCACCCAUUUGGUGUAACUUCCUAUUUAUAGAUAGAUUUUGUAUUUUAUUGUUAUUAAUCUAUUACCUGUACUAUUUUUUUUUUGUUAAUAAAACGAAAAAAUUGUCCAAA